rnacentral:tRNA from 1 species
GCCUCAUUAGCGCAGCGGCGGAGCGUCUGUCUAGUAAGCAGAAGUUCGCUUUUUCGAUUCAGUCAUGUGGCC